CCUACGGGAGGCAGCAGUGGGGAAUAUUGGACAAUGGGCGAAAGCCUGAUCCAGCAAUGCCGCGUGAGUGAUGAAGGCCUUCGGGUCGUAAAGCUCUUUUACCAGGGAUGAUAAUGACAGUACCUGGAGAAUAAGCUCCGGCUAACUCCGUGCCAGCAGCCGCGGUAAUACGGAGGGAGCUAGCGUUGUUCGGAAUUACUGGGCGUAAAGAGUACGUAGGCGGUUAUUCAAGUCAGAGGUGAAAGCCCGGGGCUCAACCCCGGAACUGCCUUUGAAACUAGAUAACUAGAGUCUUGGAGAGGUUAGUGGAAUUCCGAGUGUAGAGGUGAAAUUCGUAGAUAUUCGGAAGAACACCAGUGGCGAAGGCGACUAACUGGACAAGUACUGACGCUGAGGUACGAAAGCGUGGGGAGCAAACAGGAUUAGAUACCCUGGUAGUCCACGCCGUAAACGAUGAUAACUAGUUGUUCGGUCACUUGGUGACUGAGUGACGCAGCUAACGCAUUAAGUUAUCCGCCUGGGGAGUACGGUCGCAAGNUUAAAACUCAAAUGAAUUGACGGCUGAGACGNGCGAGACGACGACGAGGAGAG
rnacentral:rRNA from 1 species